ensembl:lncRNA
AUGCUGUUUCUGUGUUUGCUCUUCCUCAGAGGCUCCCACUGCUCCCUCCACAGCCAGGGGCAGGUCCUGCUCUCAGGCACCAGCAGGCACCCACGAUGUGGUCCUGUUCCCAGAAGCUCAGUCCCAGGGGCAGCCACGCUGGCCGCAGCAACACCCAAGACCCACUACCAUGCACAGCAGACCCAGCUGCGACAGUGGACCGGUGUGAGGCCAGACCUGCGGCGUGCACACCCGGAGGCUCCCCCCAAGCAGGUCCAGCCGACUGCAUGCCUCUCCUGGACCACACUGCCCUCGCCUGGAGCCCGCCGCCUUCCUGCUGAUCCCUUUCUUGGCUGCUCCGCACUGCAGCCCUUGCAGCAGCACUUGCCCUCUUGUCCCUUUGCUGGCUGCUCUGCACGGCAGCCAUUGCAGUGGCAUCCACAGGACAGUUCCUGGGAUCUGCAAGGGUUGCCCCCACCAGCCAGGGCCUGCUUAUCGGGGCUCAGCUCUGGCCACAGCUUCUCUCACAGCUGCAAACAAAGGACCUUCUCUCAGUCCCCAGACAUGCCUCUCGCCUCCCUGCCACGUCUGGCAUGGGGACCUCUGUUGGGAGCACUGGUUCCUCUCUGGCCCUGCACCAAUCUAAUUCCUCCUUAGCUACUAAUUAUCAGCUAAAUCAUUAUCCUCUUCAGUAAGGAUUCCCUGAUCCCGAGACAAAGUGAGGGGCCCCACUGUGUAUAUCCCCGAGCCCUCCGUAAACACAGUGCCAGAACUUCAGCUCCACUAGGAUGGAAGUGCCACAGGGCAGGCAUUUUCAUUGGUUUUAUUCACCAUCUUCUCCCCCGUUCCCAGAGCAAUGCCUGACAAGUGGUUGGGGCUGGAGAAAUAGUUUUGGAAGGAACAGCUCCUCCAGUACUUUAUCACAGUUGUUUGUCCAUUUGCCUAGACUGUAGUAUCCCUGAAGGCAGGGCCUAUUCUGAUUAAUCACUUUAACCCCAGCACUCAGCAUGGAGACUGGUGCAUAGUAGAUUACAAAUAUUGUGAAAUUUAAUAGAAUACUACACAUGUAUUUUUUUAAAUUACAAUUGAAUGUUUUAUGUAAUGACCUGGAAUAGAUAUCUGAUAUGCACUGCUACAUUAAAAAGCAAUGCAGAAUCAUGGGAAUUAUAUGCUAUAUCUUCUAUAACAGGAGACUCAAAUAAGACUUUAUGUUCAUUUUUGCUUGUACAUAAAGAAAACUCUAGAAGAAUGCACAGGAAGUGGAUAAAAGUGAUUACCUUUCAGAGAGAGACUACGCAAACACAAGACAGGAGAGACAGCAAGACUCUUCUUUGUAUAAUUUUGCAAUUCAAAUUUUGAAUUCUUUGAAUGUAUUAUAUAAUCAAUAAUUUAAAAGAAGGAAAAUGAGUAUUGAUGGAAAAAAAGAACAAACAGGGAGAGAAGCAAAACUCCAACCAGUAUCUGCCUGCCUCCAAUCAGUCACAUCCUACGGCCUAGAAUCCAAGGCUGACAAACGUAGAUUCUGCCACUUAAGAAGCCCUCCCAGCCCACAUGCUCCGGCCGAGAUGCCGAGUCCUCUGGGAUAUGGUGAGAGCCCCUCAGGUUCUCUUGGUUCUCCUGUGUCCUAGAGGAGGAUCCUCUUUACUGGGAUGUUAGCUAGUAACUGAGCAAGUGUUUCCAGUCUCAGACAUUCAGCUCUGGAGAUAAACUAUCAAGUCUGUGCACUGCUUUGGGAAUUUCCCAAGGCUAAUCUCAGGGCUUACCAGUUUAUCAACACCCUGGAACCCCCUUUCCUCACCAAAACAUUGACCCCUGAAAAGAUGCUGCUCUAGCUUAUAAGCUCCAAAGUAAACUGGUGCAAUUAUUUGGGGGCUACAUUGAGUAAGGCACCACAUACAGGCCCUCCAAUCCUACAGUUCUGCCCCUGCACAGGCACAACCCUUCCUGGUGCACCAGAGGACAUAAUCAAGAAUUUUCUCCCAUGGCCGACAUAAUACUAAACAGUAAAAGUCUGAAAGCCCUCCCACUAAAUUCUGGAACGAGACAAGGUUGCUCACUUUAACUACUUCUAUUCGACAUAGUAUUGGAAGUCCUAGCCACAGUAAUCAGACAAGAAAAGAAAAGAAAGGUAUCCAAAUCAGAAGGAAGAAGUAAAAUUCUCAUUAAAUGCAGAUAACAUUAUACACUACAUAGAAAACCCUAAAAACUCCACACCAAAACUAUUCAGUUCAGUUCAGUCACUCAGUCAUAUCCAACUCUUUGCGAUGCCAUGAAUCGCAGCACACCAGGACUCUCUGUCCAUCACAAACUUCCGGAGUUCACCCAAACUCAUGUCCACUGAGUCGGUGUUGCCAUCGAGCCAUCUCAUCCUCUGUCGUCCCCUUCUGCUCCUGCCCCCAAUCCCUCCCAUAAUCAGAGUCUUUUCCAAUGAGUAAACUCUUCGCAUGAGGUGGCCAAAAUAAUGCAGUUUCAGCUUUAGCAUCAUUCCUUCCAAAAAACACCUAGGACUGAUCUCCUUUAGAAUGGCCUGGUUGGAUCUCUUUGCAGUCCAAGGGACUCUCAAGAGUCUUCUCCAACACCACAAUUCAAAAGCAUCAAUUCUUCAGUGCUCAGCUUUCUUCACAGUCCAACUCUCACAUCCAUACAUGACCACUGGAAAAACCAUAGCCUUGACUAGACAGACCUUUGUUGGCAAAGUAAUGUCUCUGCUUUUGAAUAUGCUAUCUAGGUUGGUCAUAACUUUCCUUCCAAGGAGUAAGCAUCUUUUAAUUUCAUGGUUGCAGUCACCAUCUGCAGUGAUUUUGGAGCCCAAAAAAUAAAGUCUGACACUGUUUCCA